GGGGAUGUAAUGGUUUCGACAUUACACCAGAAAGAUAGAUAGCAAGUAGUGGAUUCUCGUUGGCCACUUAAAAAACGAGAAACUUAAAUAUAAACGCUGAUAAUAGAGAAUUAGCAUUAGCUGCCUAAUUGCGGCUACGCUUUACUAGAUAUCCCCACAUAUUUAGAUAAAGUGUCAUAUUAGUGGGAAACAAAGCUGUUAAUUCUUUCGGAACAGUGGGUAUUUAGAAAGAUAUAUUUUUAUAAAACUUGUUUGUUGGUGUUAUAAAAAUGAAUCUAAAAAACAAACUAAACUUGUAGAAUUCUAUUUGGAAAGUGUUAUGGACAGGAGUUCGACUCUCCUCAUCUCCACCA
rnacentral:tmRNA from 1 species